rnacentral:lncRNA from 1 species
CACCACAGAAAAUGAAAUCCAUAGGCUACUUUAUACAGAUAUCUUCCUAAGAUAUCCCAUCAGGAGAGCUAUUUCACAUCUCUUUCUCAGAGUCGAUGUCCACCACUGCCUCAUUGUAGAUUUUGGGAUCAUCUCUAUGUUCCCUAUCUUCCAUGUGAAACACUUUCUCUGCAUCCUCUGUAAGCAUACCAAGUACUUUUCAUGAGAAUGGAAGAUCCUACUAGAUCUUCGAGAUGAAAAAGGCACUAUAUAUACUAGCUCAUUAUGAAUAGGUUCUAUAGGUCCUAUGACUCGUUGCUCUUCAGAGACUCUUUCUUCGAGUU